rnacentral:rRNA from 1 species
UACAGAGGGUGCAAGCGUUAAUCGGAAUUACUGGGCGUAAAGCGCGCGUAGGUGGUUCGUUAAGUUGGAUGUGAAAUCCCCGGGCUUAACCUGGGAACUGCAUUCAAAACUGUCGAGCUAGAGUAUGGUAGAGGGUGGUGGAAUUUCCUGUGUAGCGGUGAAAUGCGUAGAUAUAGGAAGGAACACCAGUGGCGAAGGCGACCACCUGGACUGAUACUGACACUGAGGUGCGAAAGCGUGGGGAGCAAACAGG